rnacentral:rRNA from 1 species
AACGAACGCUGGCGGCAGGCUUAACACAUGCAAGUCGAACGCCCCGCAAGGGGAGUGGCAGACGGGUGAGUAACGCGUGGGAAUCUACCUAGUUCUACGGAACAACAGUUGGAAACGACUGCUAAUACCGUAUACGCCUACGGGGAAAGAUUUAUCGGAAUUAGAUGAGCCCGCGUAAGAUUAGCUAGUUGGUGAGGUAA